CCCCCUUUGGUGCAGUGGUUAGCACGCUCCAUCUAUCCGGUACUCAGUGAGUCCGGUGUUACUAUCUUCUGAAUGGGAUGGAUCAUGGAGAGCCCCGGGUUCAAACCCCGGAAGGGGGG